rnacentral:rRNA from 1 species
GCGAUCGAGUGGGCAGUUGGCGCGGGAGAAUGUGGUGUGCGGGGUGUGUCCGGAAAUGUGUGGGGGAAAGUGCUCGUAGGCGGUUUGUGGCGUCGGGAGUGAAAACUCGGGGCUCAACCCCGAGCCUGCUUGCGGUGCGGGCUGAGUAGAGGGAUGCAGGGGAGAACGGAAUUCCUGGUGUAGCGGUGAAAUGCGCAGAUAUCAGGAGGAACACCGGUGGCGAAGGCGGUUCUCUGGGCAUUACCUGACGCUGAGGAGCGAAAGUGUGGGGAGCGAACAGGAUUCGAUACCCGUGUAGUC